UACGAAGGGGGCUAGCGUUGCUCGGAAUCACUGGGCGUAAAGGGUGCGUAGGCGGAUUGCUAAGUCAGGGGUGAAAUCCUGGAGCUCAACUCCAGAACUGCCUUUGAUACUGGCGAUCUCGAGUCCGGGAGAGGUGAGUGGAACUGCGAGUGUAGAGGUGAAAUUCGUAGAUAUUCGCAAGAACACCAGUGGCGAAGGCGGCUCACUGGCCCGGUACUGACGCUGAGGUGCGAAAGCGUGGGGAGCAAACAGG
rnacentral:rRNA from 1 species